AGAGUUUGAUCCUGGCUCAGAGUGAACGCUGGCGGCAGGCCUAACACAUGCAAGUCGAACGGCAGCACAGGGGAGCUUGCUCCCUGGGUGGCGAGUGGCGGACGGGUGAGGAAUACAUCGGAAUCUACCUUGUCGUGGGGGAUAACCUCGGGAAACCGGGACUAAUACCGCAUACGACCUACGGGUGAAAGCGGAGGACCGCAAGGCUUCGCGCGAUUGGAUGAGCCGAUGUCGGAUUAGCUUGUUGGCGGGGUAACGGCCCACCAAGGCGACGAUCCGUAGCUGGUCUGAGAGGAUGAUCAGCCACACUGGAACUGAGACACGGUCCAGACUCCUACGGGAGGCAGCAGUGGGGAAUAUUGGACAAUGGGCGCAAGCCUGAUCCAGCCAUGCCGCGUGAGUGAAGAAGGCCCUCGGGUUGUAAAGCUCUUUUGUCCGGAAAGAAAAGCUUUCGGUUAAUACCCGGAAGUACUGACGGUACCGGAAGAAUAAGCACCGGCUAACUUCGUGCCAGCAGCCGCGGUAAUAC
rnacentral:rRNA from 1 species